rnacentral:rRNA from 1 species
AUACGGAGGAUCCGAGCGUUAUCCGGAUUUAUUGGGUUUAAAGGGUGCGCAGGCGGCCAUUUAAGUCAGCGGUUAAAUCGUGGGGCUCAAUCCCAUUCUGCCGUUGAUACUGGGUGGCUUGAUUGCGGUCGAGGUUGGCGGAAUUCGUUGUGUAGCGGUGAAAUGCAUAGAUAUGACGAAGAACUCCGAUUGCGAAGGCAGCUUACUGGACUGUAACUGACGCUGAUGCUCGAAAGUGUGGGUAUCAAACAGGAUUAGAUACCCUGGUAGUCCACACAGUAAACGAUGAAUACUCGCUGUUUGCGAUAUACAGUAAGCGGCCAAGCGAAAGCAUUAAGUAUUCCACCUGGGGAGUACGCCGGCAACGGUGAAACUCAAAUGAAUUGGCGGGG